AUGUGCCCAGCAGACCCCUACCUCUCCAGCUCCUCCGCCUCUGGUGACAGCCCCUCCGUGCUCGUCCCAGAGAGCCCGGUGCCAUCCGCAGCGAAGCGUGUCUGCAGAGAGAGCAGAAGGAAGGGGUGGGACGGGGUUUUUUGGCAUGGUGGGGCCGAUACCUGCAGGCAGGAGGAGCCGUAUGGUGCCUCAGGGCAGCAGGGACCCCGUGGGUGCAACCCUGUACUAGCCCAGGUGCCCAAGAAGCCCAACUCACCCUGCCCCAGCUGCCCCGUUAUCCCCGCAAGGCCCCGCGUGCUCGCCUCGCACUGGCACAGAUGUCUCAGGGUGCCACCGUGUGCCCCCAGCAGGGAGUGCCCCCCACAGAUGGGGCAGCCACAGGGCCCAUCCUCACCCCCCAGGACAAAGCCCCCCGGGACUGCCAGCCCUCGGUGUUCCCUGCCAGCUCCAACCCGCUCGCCUUGGUCUCCAAUGCUGGGACAAGAACCACAGCAGCUCCCAAAUCUCUUGUCCCUGUUUUCCCCGGGACUGCUCUCAGACCUCUGUUGCCCAACUACAACUGUGAGCCCAUCACAGUCUGGGGCCCCCCACCAGCCGCAAGCCGGUCCCGUCCUCGAUCAUGCUCCGGUCCAUCGCGUCCUUGUAGGAGAUCUUCAGCUUGGUUUUGGGGCAGGUGAGAUACUUGGAGUAGGUGUUGACGUCCCGCAGCUUCUGGGCCGUGCGCGUGUCGAUGGUGCCCUUCUGCAGUGCCUCAUCCAAGGAGACCCGGCCCUCGACGUCAGGCUCGAUCAGGCCUCCCGUCAGGUACUGCACCUCCAGGAAGCGCUGCCCGGCCUCGUAGUACAGCCAGCCCUUCUUCAGGGCCUGGGCCGCUGACAUCUUCGUCUUGGUCCGCGGGUCCUCGAAGCCGUAGAAGGCCUUCUGUGCCAGGUUGAUGCGGUCCACCAUGAUUUUGUCAACCAGGCCCUUGUUCACCGCAUCCGCGACAGAGCACUUGUCCCCGGUGUUGGGGUCAAUGAUGCCCCCGGUGCAGGCCUGGGCCUCCAGCAGUCUCUGCCCCGUGAUGUUGUCUACGAGGUUGCGGUGCAUUGCCUCGGUGAUGGACACCUUCUCCAGGGUGUCCGUGUCCAGGAUGCCUGCCACCGGCCCCGUCUCCUCAGUCGGGUCACUCCACAUCUGCGUUCUCAAGGGGGCCGGGCUGACGGUAUAGGAGGAAGAGGAGCCCACGGAAGACGACCUGGAUCGGAAGCCACCCAUGUUGCCGGACAGCAUGUCCGCAAACUCAGUGAUGGAAAGGGUGCCUGAGCGGUACUGGUCCAGGGCCGACUGGUCAAUCAGGCCCUUGCUGAUGGCAUCAUCUAUGUCGUACUGGCGCCCCGAGCGCCUGUCGAUGAUCAUGGACUUCACCACGCCGUCGGAGGAGGAGGUGGUGAUCUCCUCCCACUCGCACUCCUGUUCUGACAGCUCCAGGUAGGUCUGGUGGUCGAUGAGGCCCUUGCGAUAGGCUUCGUACACGGACAUCUCCUUGCCUGUCUCUGGGUCGACGAUCACCACCCUGCGCUUGCGGACAGAGGACUUGGAGGAGGUCUUCCUCUCACGCUUCUUCUCCUUCAGGGGCAGGAGGCAGAGCCCGGUCUCUGGGUCGGUGAUGCACCUCUCCAUGAGCUGCAGGUAGGUGAGGUUCUCCUCCGUGUUCGGGUCGAAGAAGCCCUUGGUGUCAUCGCUGGGAUCCAGCAGGAUCUCGUUCAUCUCCUCGUCGAAAAGGCCCCUCUUGUAGGCAAUCUCCACAGGGAGGCGAUGGCUCUCCUC
rnacentral:lncRNA from 1 species